rnacentral:rRNA from 1 species
UACGUAGGGUGCAAGCGUUGUCCGGAAUUAUUGGCGUAAAGAGCUCGUAGGCGGUCUGUCGCGUCGGCUGUGAAAACCCGGGGCUCAACCCCGGGCCUGCAGUCGAUACGGGCAGACUAGAGUGCGGUAGGGGAGACUGGAAUUCCUGGUGUAGCGGUGAAAUGCGCAGAUAUCAGGAGGAACACCGGUGCGAAGGCGGUCUCUGGGCCGUAACUGACGCUGAGGAGCGAAAGCGUGGGGAGCGAACAGG